CGCGCAGGCGGUCUUUUAAGUCAGAUGUGAAAGCCCGGGGCUCAACCCCGGAAGUGCAUUUGAAACUAGAAGACUUGAGUAUGGGAGAGGGAAGUGGAAUUCCUGGUGUAGCGGUGAAAUGCGUAGAUAUCAGGAGGAACACCUGUGGCGAAGGCGACUUCCUGGACCAAUACUGACGCUGAGGCGCGAAGGCGUGGGGAGCAAACA
rnacentral:rRNA from 1 species